rnacentral:rRNA from 1 species
GACGAACGCUGGCGGCGUGCUUAACACAUGCAAGUCGAACGGAAAGGCCUGCUUUCCCUUGUGGAUUGCGGGUACUCGAGUGGCGAACGGGUGAGUAACACGUGAGUGAUCUGCCCCCAACUUGGGUAUAAGCCUGGGAAACUGGGUCUAAUUCCCGAUAGGACUGCAGGGUGGUGCCUGUGGUGGAAAACGAUUUUCUAGUGGUUGGGGAUGAGCUCGCGGCCUAUCAGCUUGUUGGUGGGGUAAUGGCCUACCAAGGCGGCGACGGGUAGCCGGCCUGAGAGGGUGGACGGCCACAUUGGGACUGAGAUACGGCCCAGACUCCUACGGGAGGCAGCGGUGGGGAAUAUUGCACAAUGGGCGGAAGCCUGAUGCAGCGACGCCGCGUGGGGGAUGACGGCCUUCGGGUUGUAAACUCCUUUCGACCGCGAGGAAGCCACCUGGUUGGAAGGGUGGUGACGGUAGUGGUAGAAGAAGCACCGGCUAACUACGUG